CCUACGGGUGGCAGCAGUGGGGGAUAUUGCACAAUGGGGGAAACCCUGAUGCCGCGACGCCGCGUGAUCGAGACGCCCUUCGGGGUGUAAAGAUCUGUCCGUGGGGACGAAACUUGACGGUACCCACAGAGGAAGCACCGGCUAACUCCGUGCCAGCAGCCGCGGUAAUACGGGGGGUGCAAGCGUUGUCCGGAAUCAUUGGGUUUAAAGGGAGCGUAGGCCGCAUGUCAAGCGUGCUGUGAAAUGUCCGGGCUCAACCCGGGCCUUGCAGCGCGAACUGGCGUGCUUGAGUCCGCGGAAAGCAGGCGGAAUUCGUCGUGUAGCGGUGAAAUGCUUAGAUAUGACGAAGAAUCCCGAUUGCGAAGGCAGCUUGCUGCAGCGGAACUGACGCUGAUGCUCGAAAGCGCGGGUAUCGAACAGGAUUAGAUACCCUUGUAGUC
rnacentral:rRNA from 1 species